UACGUAGGGGGCAAGCGUUAUCCGGAUUCAUUGGGCGUAAAGCGCGCGUAGGCGGUCUGUUAGGUCAGGAGUUAAAUCUGGGGGCUCAACCCCUAUCCGCUCCUGAUACCGGCAGGCUUGAGUCUGGUAGGGGAAGAUGGAAUUCCAAGUGUAGCGGUGAAAUGCGCAGAUAUUUGGAAGAACACCGGUGGCGAAGGCGGUCUUCUGGGCCAUGACUGACGCUGAGGCGCGAAAGCUAGGGGAGCGAACA
rnacentral:rRNA from 1 species